rfam:Photobacterium damselae subsp. damselae CIP 102761 Contig56, whole genome shotgun sequence.
GGGUGCUCUUGGCUUAUUUGCCAAGAUGCCGAGGUAAAUAAGACAAAGCCCCGAAUGAACUAUAAAUUCAAACGAGGCUUAUAUCAUGUUUCCUAACAAGACUGAUCUUAGCCUCUAUUUAGCUAAGAGGCAAGUUAUAUGCUACGAAAG